rnacentral:rRNA from 1 species
GUAGGAAUCUUCCACAAUGGACGAAAGUCUGAUGGAGCAACGCCGCGUGAGUGAAGAAGGGUUUCGGCUCGUAAAGCUCUGUUGGUAGUGAAGAAAGAUAGAGGUAGUAACUGGCCUUUAUUUGACGGUAAUUACUUAGAAAGUCACGGCUAACUACGUGCC